rnacentral:ncRNA from 1 species
UGUCUCCUCCACUUCUUAACAGAAAUGGAUUCAGCCCGCUCCCUGAGCGGGUUUUUUUUU